GGUGUGUGGCGGUGUUCAGUGCAGCUUUAUGCAUUUCUUUUAAUCAUCUUUCUAUUAUAAUGCUUUCAGCUUUUAAACUACCAUGCAGGUUGCUACUGGGCUGCUCAUUGCUGAAGUAAAUGUGAACACAAUGUGUGAAUUGGGUUCGGGUGGUGUAUCAUUGGUAAUUAUGUUACAGAUAAUUGAUAUGAAUUUCUGUGGUUACAUUUUGUAUUAUUUUGAAUUAGUUCUUGGUGGCAUUAUGAAGUUUUUACUAUAAUUAUGUGCUUAAAAAUUGAGUUCAAUUUAUUUGCUACGUUAAGAGACUUGCUCCUUGUGAAUUAGAUCUUGCUGAAUUUUAAAAAUUUGUUGAUAGAACUACUGGUUUUGCCCCUGUUUGUCCAUCUUUGUGCAAAAACCAUUUGUGGACAAUGUGAUGCACAUUUAGCAAUGAUGUCAAAAUGUAUAAAAGUGCUCCUACAUUUGGGCUUUUAGGUCUCUCAUACAUAAGAGUUGUCAGAGAAUUUUGACCUAAAUGGUAUCAUAAUUUCAAUUUGUUUCUUUAAAAACUUAACG
rnacentral:misc_RNA from 1 species